ensembl:lncRNA
AAGAGAGGGAUGAAGGCAGAUGGAUGCCUAUCUGAGAGAGAGACGGGACAGAGUUGUCUCAACCCUGGGAGAGACGGGACAGAGUUGUCUCAACCCUGGGAGAGAGGGGACAGAGAUGUCUCAACCCUGGGAGAGAGGGGACAGAGAUGUCUCAACCCUGGGAGAGAGGGGACAGAGAUGUCUCAACCCUGGGAGAGAGGGGACAGAGAUGUCUCAACCCUGGGAGAGAGGGGACAGAGAUGUCUCAACCCUGGGAGAGAGGGGACAGAGAUGUCUCAACCCUGGGAGAGAGGGGACAGAGAUGUCUCAACCCUGGGAGAGAGGGGACAGACAGUGUACUUAUUGGAUCCUGGGUGAAGAGAUUUGGGCUUUAGUGAUUUUAACACCCUGGACCCGGAGCAAGCCCUCACUUGUAACACUGGUCCAAUAGGGCACAGAUACUGUUAGAGGAGGGAGGGUUGUCUCUGUUUGCUGCCGUGGCGGUUUUAAUGCUAUUAGACAGCCUUAACUCUGGUCCUAUAGGUGCUGUUACAUCACACUAGCACCGAACAGGAGACCAAACAGACAGGGGAAAACAACGGACUAUUGGCAGUUAAAGACAAAAUGGACACCAACUAACUGCAAAUGGUAGAUUCCAUAUUUUGUCACGCUCAGAAGGUCAAAAGGUUAUUUGGCCAAGCUGUUUCAUACAGUGCUGUGCUGCUUGUAUAUUGAUGUGCUUUUGUCAUUCAUUCAUUAUUAUUGGUAUUGUCUGGUCUAGUCUCACUAGCUGCUAUGUUACCAAGUCAUCUCACCCACGAUGAGCUAAUUAUCUGAUAGGAAAUGAUACACACACACACACACACACACACAUUUCAUUAUUGACUCAGAAGGGGGAGUAGCGAUCUCUUAAAGUGCUUACUUACGCAUGUCUGUCAUUCAUUAAGUCACUGUCUGUCAUUCAUUAAGUCACUGUCUGUCAUUCAUUAACUCACUGUCUGUCAUUCAUUAAGUCACUGUCUGUCAUUCAUUAAGUCACUGUCUGUCAUUCAUUAAGUCACUGUCUGUCAUUCAUUAAGUCACUGUCUGCCAUUCAUUAAGUCACUGUCUGUCAUUCAUUAACUCACUGUCUGUCAUUCAUUAAGUCACUGUCUGUCAUUCAUUAACUCACUGUCUGUCAUUAAGUCACUGUCUGUCAUUCAUUAAGUCACUGUCUGUCAUUCAUUAAGUCACUGUCUGCCAUUCAUUAAGUCACUGUCUGUCAUUCAUUAAGUCACUGUCAUUCAUUAACUCACUGUCUGUCAUUCAUUAAGUCACUGUCUGUCAUUCAUUAAGUCACUGUCUGUCAUUCAUUAAGUCACUGUCUGUCAUUCAUUAAGUCACUGUCUGCCAUUCAUUAAGUCACUGUCUGUCAUUCAUUAACUCACUGUCUGUCAUUCAUUAAGUCACUGUCUGUCAUUCAUUAAGUCACUGUCUGCCAUUCAUUAACUCACUGUCUGUCAUUAAGUCACUGUCUGCCAUUCAUUCAGUCACUGUCUGCCAUUCAUUAAGUCACUGUCUGUCAUUCAUUAAGUCACUGUCUGUCAUUCAUUAAGUCACUGUCUGUCAUUCAUUAAGUCACUGUCUGCCAUUCAUUAAGUCACUGUCUGUCAUUCAUUAACUCACUGUCUGUCAUUCAUUAAGUCACUGUCUGUCAUUCAUUAAGUCACUGUCUGCCAUUCAUUAAGUCACUGUCUGUCAUUCAUUAAGUCACUGUCUGUCCGUGUGCAGCUGUAGACAUGUAUUUGUUCUAACAGGAAACAUGACAAACAACCUCCAUUAGCUUUCUAUGGAUUUACUGUCAGUGACAUCAUAUGCAUCCUAAAUGAUUCCCUAUAUAGUGCAUUACUUUUGACCAGGGCACAAAGGGGGGUACCAGGGCCCGUGGGGGGACCAGGACCCGUAAGGGG